rnacentral:tRNA from 1 species
GGAGAGGUGCCAGAGCGGCCGAAUGGGCGCGCUUGGAAAGCGCGUGUGGGGGCAACCUCACCGGGGGUUCAAAUCCCCCCCUCUCCGCCA